GUUUUGGUGAUGGUGAUGUGUUUGUACAUCUUACUUCACUGAACAUUCUUGCUGCUUACAAUUAUUUCUAUCUAUAAUGAACUUGGCCCAGUAGUUUCAGUGAAAAAUGUUAGUAAAAAUUAACAAAUUUUAUGAAAAUUGUUAAAAAUUGACUAUAAAGGACAAUAACUCCUUAGGGGGUCAAUUGACCAUUUUGGUCAUGUUUGACUUAUUUAUAGGUCUUACUUUGCUGUACAUUAUUGCUGUUUACAGUUUAUCUCUAUCUAUAAUAAUAUUCAAGAUAAUAAC
rnacentral:lncRNA from 1 species